UACGGAGGGUGCAAGCGUUAUCCGGAUUCACUGGGUUUAAAGGGUGCGUAGGUGGGCAGGUAAGUCAGUGGUGAAAUCUCCGGGCUUAACUCGGAAACUGCCAUUGAUACUAUCUGUCUUGAAUACCGUGGAGGUUAGCGGAAUAUGUCAUGUAGCGGUGAAAUGCUUAGAUAUGACAUAGAACACCAAUUGCGAAGGCAGCUGGCUACACGAAUAUUGUCACUGAUGCACGAAAGCGUGGGGGUCAAACAGG
rnacentral:rRNA from 1 species